CAAAGUGAUCCAGUGAUUAACACAAAUUACAGGACGCAUCGACGUAUACUUCAUUGUGCAACAAUAAUAUUAUUAUUAUUGCAAUUUUUAUUGCCAUUGUGCAAUAAAACGAGUGCUCAUAGAAUGAUGCUCGCAAUCUUUUUAGGUACAAUUUUAUUUCUAUUUGCAUUACAUUGUUUUAUAAGAUAUAGAAGAGUGGGAAGACUUAUAAGUCUAAUUCCAGGACCUCACGAAUAUCCGAUAAUUGGGAAUUUGUAUCACUUUCGAAUUGAAAAUGAACAUUUACUUGAGAAAUUCUGGAGAUUAAGUAAUGG
rnacentral:lncRNA from 1 species